rnacentral:rRNA from 1 species
UACGGAGGGUGCAAGCGUUGUUCGGAAUUAUUGGGCGUAAAGAACGUGUAGGCGGGUUUGUAUGUCAGAUGUGAAAGCCCUCGGCUCAACCGAGGAAGUGCAUCUGAAACUGCAAAUCUUGAGUACGAGAGAGGAGAGUGGAAUUCCCAGUGUAGAGGUGAAAUUCAUAGAUCUUGGGAAGAACACCGGCGGCGAAAGCGGCUCUCUGGCUCGAUACUGACGCUGAGACGUGAAAGCGUGGGGAGCAAACAGGAUUAGAUACCCUGGUAGUCCACGCCGUAAACGAUGUGCACUAGGUGUUGGGGGUAAUAAAACCUUCAGUGCCGCAGCUAACGCAUUAAGUGCACCGCCUGGGGAUUACGGUCGCAAGAUUAAA